rnacentral:rRNA from 1 species
GACGAACGCUGGCGGCGUGCUUAACACAUGCAAGUCGAACGGAAAGGCCCUGCUUUUGUGGGGUUCUCGAGUGGCGAACGGGUGAGUAACACGUGAGUAUCCUGCCCUUGACUUUGGGAUAACUUCAGGAAACUGGGGCUAAUACCGGCUAGGAGCUCCUGCUGCAUGGUGGGGGUUGGAAAUUUUCGGCGGUUGGGGAUGGACUCGCGGGUUAUCAGCUUGUUGGUGGGGUAGUGGCUUACCAAGGCUUUGACGGGUAGCCGGCCUGAGAGGGUGACCGGGCACAAUGGGACUGAGAUACGGACCAGACUGGUACGGGAGGCAGCAGGGGGGAAUAUGGCACAAUGGGCGGAAGCGUGAUGCAGAAACGCCGGGUGCGGGAUGAAGGCCUUCGGGUUGUGAACCGCUUUCGCCUGUGACGAAGCGUGAGUGACGGUAAUGGGUAAAGAAGCACCGGCUAACUACGUG